rnacentral:rRNA from 1 species
GACGAACGCUGGCGGCGUGCCUAAUACAUGCAAGUUGAGCGCUGAAGGUUGGUACUUGUACCAACUGGAUGAGCAGCGAACGGGUGAGUAACGCGUGGGGAAUCUGCCUUUGAGCGGGGGACAACAUUUGGAAACGAAUGCUAAUACCGCAUAAAAACUUUAAACACAAGUUUUAAGUUUGAAAGAUGCAAUUGCAUCACUCAAAGAUGAUCCCGCGUUGUAUUAGCUAGUUGGUGAGGUAAAGGCUCACCAAGGCGAUGAUACAUAGCCGACCUGAGAGGGGGAUCGGCCACAUUGGGACUGAGACACGGCCCAAACUCCUACGGGAGGCAGCAGUAGGGAAUCUUCGGCAAUGGACGAAAGUCUGACCGAGCAACGCCGCGGGAGUGAAGAAGGGUUUCGGAUCGUAAAACUCUGUUGGUAGAGAAGAACGUUGGUGAGAGUGGAAAGCUCAUCAAGUGACGGUAACUACCCAGAAAGGGACGGCUAACUACGUG